GACAAACACCACAAUCUUGACGGCCGGACCGCCGGGGGAUAGCUCAGGCGUGAGAGUAAGUAUGUCUGUUCACAAGGUUAACUCAAGAGGAUAAUAAAAUCUAGUGUAAUGAGAGAGAUGAUUAUUAUCAGUUAUGUGAAUGUGUAUAUAUCAAGAAAUGUACCUCCUUGUGAAGACUUACUCGUCAAGAAAUAAUAUCUUUGCCUGGAUUACUGUGCC
rnacentral:lncRNA from 1 species